CCUACGGGCGGCAGCAGUGAGGAAUAUUGGUCAAUGGACGCAAGUCUGAACCAGCCAUGCCGCGUGCAGGAAGACGGCUCUAUGAGUUGUAAACUGCUUUUGUACGAGGGUAAACGCAGAUACGCGUAUCUGUCUGAAAGUAUCGUACGAAUACGGAUCGGCUAACUCCGCGCCAGCAGCCGCGGUAAUACGGAGGAUUCAAGCGUUAUCCGGAUUUAUUGGGUUUAAAGGGUGCGUAGGCGGUCGGAUAAGUUAGAGGUGAAAGCCCGAGGCUCAACUUCGGAAUUGCCUCUGAUACUGUUCGGCUAGAGAGCAGUUGCGGUAGGCGGAAUGUAUGGUGUAGCGGUGAAAUGCUUAGAGAUCAUACAGAACACCGAUUGCGAAGGCAGCUUACCAAGCUACAUCUGACGUUGAGGCACGAAAGCGUGGGGAGCAAACAGGAUUAGAUACCCUGGUAGUC
rnacentral:rRNA from 1 species